rnacentral:rRNA from 1 species
AUUGAACGCUGGCGGCAUGCCUUACACAUGCAAGUCGAACGGCAGCACGGGUGCUUGCACCUGGUGGCGAGUGGCGAACGGGUGAGUAAUACAUCGGAACAUGUCCUGUAGUGGGGGAUAGCCCGGCGAAAGCCGGAUUAAUACCGCAUACGAUCUACGGAUGAAAGCGGGGGACCUUCGGGCCUCGCGCUAUAGGGUUGGCCGAUGGCUGAUUAGCUAGUUGGUGGGGUAAAGGCCUACCAAGGCGACGAUCAGUAGCUGGUCUGAGAGGACGACCAGCCACACUGGGACUGAGACACGGCCCAGACUCCUACGGGAGGCAGCAGUGGGGAAUUUUGGACAAUGGGCGAAAGCCUGAUCCAGCAAUGCCGCGUGUGUGAAGAAGGCCUUCGGGUUGAAAAGCACUUUUGUCCGAAAAGAAAUCCUUGGCCCUAAUACGGUCGGGGGAUGACGGUACCGGAAGAAUAAGCACCGGCUAACUACGUG